CCCUGUUUCUGAAAGUAUUAAUGGGCUUUUGUGCCAUGGUCAUUGAUACUGCAGGGAGAGGAUGCUGGAAACAUUUCCUGACAUCUGUAAGGGCUGCUCCUGUCCUUACCAAACCCUGUUAUUUUCAACACA